rnacentral:rRNA from 1 species
UUUGACAUGUACGGAAUUUGCCAGAGAUGGCUUAGUGCUCGAAAGAGAACCGUAACACAGGUGCUGCAUGGCUGUCGUCAGCUCGUGUCGUGAGAUGUUGGGUUAAGUCCCGCAACGAGCGCAACCCUUGUCAUUAGUUGCUACAUUUAGUUGGGCACUCUAAUGAGACUGCCGGUGACAAGCCGGAGGAAGGUGGGGAUGACGUCAAGUCCUCAUGGCCCUUAUAGGUGG